GCAGUGGUGGUUAAGUGGUAAAAUUCUUGCCUUCCAUGCAGGAACCUCAGUUUGAUUCCUAGCCAUUGAA
rnacentral:tRNA from 1 species